GGAAGGGUGAUAGCUCAGUGGUAGAUCAUCUGCUUUACAUGCAGAAAGUCCAUGGUUCAACCCUUUGCAUCUCCA